rnacentral:tRNA from 1 species
AGUAGAAUGGCUGAGAAUAUUAUAGGUGAUAGAUUGUAAAUCUAUUGAGGGGUUAAAUACUCUUCUACUA